CCCUGCCAUUUGUACACACCGCCCGUCGCUACUACCGAUUGAAUGGCUUAGUGAGGCCUUUGGAUUUGUCUUUUGGGCGCAAGCCUGUUGGAUGGAAAAAUUGGACAAACUUGGUCAUUUAGAGGAAGUAAAAG
rnacentral:rRNA from 1 species